rnacentral:rRNA from 1 species
GGCGAACGGGUGAGGAACACGUGAAGAAUCUGCCUUCAACUCUGGGAUAACUCCGGGAAACCGGGGCUAAUACCGGAUAUGAGCCUUGAUCGCAUGAUCGGGGCUGGAAAGUUUUUCGGUUGAAGAUGACUUCGCGGCCUAUCAGCUUGUUGGUGAGGUAAUGGCUCACCAAGGCGACGACGGGUAGCCGGCCUGAGAGGGCGACCGGCCACACUGGGACUGAGACACGGCCCAGACUCCUACGGGAGGCAGCAGUGGGGAAUAUUGGGCAAUGGAGGAAACUCUGACCCAGCGACGCCGCGUGAGGGAUGAAGGCCUUCGGGUUGUAAACCUCUUUCAGUAGGGAAGAAGCGAAAGUGACGGUACCUACAGAAGAAGCACCGGCUAACUAUGUGCCAGCAGCCGCGGUAAUACAUAGGGUGCAAGCGUUGUCCGGAAUUAUUGGGCGUAAAGAGCUCGUAGGUGGUUCGAUACGUCGGAUGUGAAAAUCAGGGGCUCAACCCCUGACCUGCAUCCGAUACGGUCGAGCUAGAGUUUGGUAGGGGAGACUGGAAUUCCUGGUGUAGCGGUGGAAUGCGCAGAUAUCAGGAGGAACACCGAUGGCGAAGGCAGGUCUCUGGGCCAAUACUGACACUGAGGAGCGAAAGCGUGGGGAGCGAACAGGAUUAGAUACCCUGGUAGUCCACGCCGUAAACGGUGGGCGCUAGUUGUGCGAACCUUCCACGGUUUGUGCGACGCAGCUAACGCAUUAAGCGCCCCGCCUGGNGAGUACGAUCGCAAGAUUAAAACUCAAAGGAAUUGACGGGGCCCCGCACAAGCAGCGGAGCAUGCGGCUUAAUUCGACGCAACGCGAAGAACCUUACCAAGGCUUGAC